AUGUCCUCAUCUUCUACAGUAUUGUGAGGUGUCCUCAUCUUCUACAGUAUUGUGAGGUGUCCUCAUCUUCUACAGUAUUGUGAGGUGUCCUCAUCUUCUACAGUAUUGUGAGGUGUCCUCAUCUUCUACAGUAUUGUGAGGUGUCCUCAUCUUCUACAGUAUUGUGAGGUGUCCUCAUCUUCUACAGU